CAGCAGCCGCGGUAAUACGUAGGUGGCAAGCGUUGUCCGGAAUUAUUGGGCGUAAAGGGCUCGCAGGCGGCUUCUUAAGUCUGAUGUGAAAGCCCCGGUUCAACCGGGGAGGGUCAUUGGAAACUGGGAAACUUGAGUGCAGAAGAGGAGAGUGGAAUUCCACGUGUAGCGGUGAAAUGUGUAGAGAUGUGGAGGAACACCAGUGGCGAAGGCGACUCUCUGGUCUGUAACUGACGCUGAGGAGCGAAAGCGUGGGGAGCGAACAGGAUUAGAUACCCGGGUAGUCCCUGUCUCUUAUACC
rnacentral:rRNA from 1 species